UUCUAGUCCUGUCCCAAGCUCCCCCUGGUUUUCAGGUGGUGCUGGUGAACUCAAUGGGACUGUUGACGGGGUAAUGCAAACCUGGCAUGAGUGACACUGCGGCAACAUGGCCCUUGAAUGUUAGGAGACAGGGAAAUUUGGGGGGCCUAUUUCCAGCCAUCUUAUUUACAAUCCCUAUAACCACUCCAUGUGCAUAGGGGAAAAGGACCUACAGCUUCCACUGACUUUACUUUCAAUUUAUAGAGAGAUAGCACUUCUUCAGAAAAGCCUUAUAAGUCCCAGAUUUUAUCAGUAUAACUAAUAACAAUGAUAAUAAGGUGCUUGGUAGUAGUGCUACUAAAAGAAACCAUUUGAUUUCUAAAAAUCCCCAGUGGGACAUAUUGCAAGAAAUGAACAUACAAGAACAGUUACCAGAAAGCAGCCUUCUGUAAUCUGUGUUGAAAAAUGUGAAGGAGAUCUGUUUAUCUGCACUGUCUCAAUUUGAAGAUCAAGGAUUUUACUCAGCCCUGAAAGAUGCAGCCAUUUACAGAAAGCCUGGGUUUUGCUACGUUAUUCACGUGGCAGGGGGGCUUGUCAGUUGCUCACUGUGACUGCAUGCCGAGUAAAAGGGCCUGUGAUAGCACUUAUUUCUCUCCACAGGCAUUUUCUGUACCUUGAGUCACAAGCUGAAGAAAACAACCUCUAGUGAUCUCUCCACCACUAGAACUGUAUUACUGCAAUGCCACCAUUCAUGCAAAGAAUGGCAUUUGCCUUUCCCGAGGACAAAGAGGUUCCAGCGACACAAAUGUGUCCCUGCAGCCUGUUAUAUUCUCUGCCUGGGCUCCUUACUGCGCGUGCAGAAAAUUCACAGUCCAUCCCUAAAUACACUGUGGAUUUAGCAGAAACAGAUAUUCCACAGGAGUUUAAAAUCCUUGCAGGAGCAUCCAGCUGACUUCACUGUAAUACACAUUUAAUGCCUGCGUCAUUAGGAACAAUGUGCAUAACAACAACUCUCUGAAGGAGCCACCUGAUCCAAUUCUCUGCUCUUGAACCAGUUUUUAUGGAUCUGAAGCUUUUGAAAUUAGCAGAACUGCUCCUGAACUGGUGUCAGAAAUAGUGUGCUCUUUGGAAUAACAAGGUGUUUAAAAAUAACUGAGCCUUUAUAUAGAUCUCCCUUGUCACAGAGACCUGCCCCACGCAGGCAGCAGCGCUAAUGGACAAAGAGAGAGAAGACCUCAACCACAGAAGGUCUCGGCAGCGCAGCUGAAUCAGAGAGCCAAGAGACAGCAGUGUUGUCGCUUGAUCUGUUGCAAUGUCUUAGUGUUUCCUUUAUGCCUUGAAUCUUUGUAUCUGACCUGAAGUGCAGACAAACCUAUAGCUGCCUGGGAAUCAUCUCCUGAGAGCUUGAUGUUGUAUUCUGCUCCUUAUCGUCAGGCGAAGGAGCUCUUAAUGCAUGGCCCAGGGAGAACUGAAGAACCUCUGAGAACUGGCCAAAGAAAGAAGAUGGCAAAGUGAAUAUCUGGCUCGUGCUAACAUCUCGCUCCUGCUCACGGGGUGAGCUCACACCACUGCUGUGGGUACAGUCUCAGCUCCCAACAUCAAAGAACAGCAAGCUGGCUUUGGUAUCUGGCAGUUCUAGCACAAGCAUAAGCACAGUCUCCUGCUGGGAUGAAUAGUGCUUCUCGAAACUCCUGCAGCAUGAUUCAUGUGGAUCCCAAGGAGUCUUGGGAAAUACCAAAGACAUGGAGAUGCAUUACAGUAGGUGUGCAAGAUCAUUUCUUACAAUACCUCAGCUCUCACCAGCACAGCAGAGUUUUGUUUAUACUGGGGUUGGAGCUAGAGACCUUUGGUAAGAACAGAAGCAGCAGGUAAGAGACAAGAUAGGGGUAAUAUGGAGUGCAUCUCAGAGUUUUACAGUGAAGUAUAAGUUUUGUUUUAAUUUGGUUGCUGAGUGAAUGCAUUUAAAUAGUUCAGUCCUGAUUUAGGGACCGUGCUUUCUGUGGAUGAAGAAUAUAUAGG